rnacentral:lncRNA from 1 species
UACGAAGUUUCAAAGGAAGUCGCUAAAAUACACAAAUUUCGGCUAGUUAUAUCUUUUUUGUUUAUGCUCUGAUUUUUUUCGUUAUUGUGUGAUUUGAAAGAUAAAGUGUCCAUUUACAAUCGUAUGUUUUUUGUUUUUUGAUAAUUGUGCAACGAAAUUGUAAAAAUGCCGUGGAAAAGAGCAACACAAUACAAGCGCUUCAUUGUCGGGAGCGUAUGCGACAGCAAAGGUUAAGCUCUAUAGCCAUAGAUAACAAGACGAAGCAGGGUAGAGCAACGGCUAAGAAGUUAAAAAGAUUGGAUAAAAGGGUAAGAUGAGCCUUUUAAUUGUUUUGGUGGUUUAUUUAGUACAAAAUUUUAACAAAUCGAUGCCUCUAGGUAUAGUCAAAUCAUAGUAUUUAUACAUAUUUUUUCAACAUGAUCGAUCGGCUCAGUUGCUAGGUUAAUGUCAGUACUUAGCCACUUGGACAGUGAGUCAAAGAUCCCUUCGUUGAAUGUAUUUAUUUGUGUUUAUUGUUUUAUACUGCAUGAAUAAUCUUUCAAAAGCAUUUUUGAUAAUAAUACCCAACAUUUUCACCUUGACAAGUAAAGACAGUAAAUUUGUCUGACAAUUCAAUAUUUGAUUGUUUCACCUAAUGACCAUUCAUUUUAUAUACACACACCCCUAUGGAUGAGGUUUUCUGAGGGGUCGCCUGAAUUUUAACGAAAUUUGUCAGGGGGGUAACCUGUAAAUACACCCUUUCGAUGAUUACAUAACACAUACUUUUUGCUCUUGGAGCCCCAGAUCAUGAUUCAUGAGUGCAAGGCUCCCAGGCCAAAUGACGUAAUUACUGAAAGGGUGUAUUAUUAAAAUUUUGGAUAAAAUUCAUCCGAAGGGUUGUCUAAAUAGGAAGUAAUUCUGAGUAGCAUGGUAUUGGAGAUGAGGUUUUCCGAGGGAUUGCCUCAAUUUUAACAAAAUUCUUCAGGGUAACUUGUAAAUACACCCUUUCGAUUAUUAUGUCACACAUACUUUUUGCUCUUGGAGCCCCAGAUCAUGAUUCAUGAGUGCAAGGCACCAAGGCCAAAUGACGUAAUUAUUGAAAGGAUGUAUUAUCAAAUUUUUUGAUAAAAAUUUAUCCGAAGGGUUGUUUAAAAUAGGAAAUAAUUCUGAACAGCAUGCUAAUGGGGAUGAGGUUUUCUGAGGAAUUGCCUAAAUUUUAACCAAAUUCUUCAGGGUAACCUGUAAAUACACCCUUUCGAUUAUUACGUCACACAUACUUUUUGCUCUUGGAGUCCCAGCUCACUAUUCAUGAGUGCAAGGCUCCCAGGUCAAAUGAUGCAAUUAUUGAAAGGAUGUAUUAUCAAUUUUUUUGAUAAAAAAUUAUCCAAAGGGUUGUCUAAAAUAGGAAAUAAUUCUGAACAGCAUGCUAUUGGGGAUGAGGUUUUCUGAGGGAUUGCCUGAAUUUUAACCAAAUUCUUAAGGGUAACUUGUAAAUACACCCUUUCGAUAUUUACGUCACACAUACUUUUUGCUCUUGGAGCCGUGGGUCUCGAUUUAUGAGUGCAAGGCUCCCAGGCCAAAUGACGUAAUCAUUGAAAGGGUGUAUUAUUAAAAUUUUGGAUAAAAAUUUAUCCGAAGGGUUGUCUAAUAUAGGAAAUAAUUCUAAACAGCAUGCUAUUGAGAUGAGGUUUUCUGAGGGAUCCCUGAAUUCUUAGGGUUUUUGCACCAGGACAACAAAUUUAUGGUGAUUUGUGCGGCUGACAGGGAGACGGAGUGAUGGGGUUGGGCAUUGGGUUUAUAAUUAUUGUAGAAUAUGUAUAAUUAUUGUUUAUAAUUAUUGCAUGUUUUUGCAGGAAUAUACCCGGGAAUGCAAGAAUGAUUUGGCUGUUCAGAUAUCAAACUACAAUCAUCAAAUAAUGCAAUGUCAGCAUUUUAUUUUAUUGUUCUCAAUGUGAAAAAUAUUAAUAGAAAUAAAAUAUACACAGGCUAGUAUCCUGAUAGAUAGAACAUUGUAUUAUUAUAAGGUGUCGCAUACACUGGUACUGAUGCUACUUUGAGUGUGUUCACACCGGGCAAGCAGAAGAGUUUGCUUGACAGCGGUGGGAAUAGAACCCACGACCUUUGGUUUGCUAGUCCAAUGCUCUACCAACUGGGCCAUACAUGCAUGGGGUCAAGUCGGUAAGAAAACCAAAAGUCGUGGGUUCGAUUCCCACUGCGAUCAAGCAAGAGGAGCAUCAUAAACAAACAGUGAUCUACAUAUUUAUCUAUAUCCCACUAACAAUGAAUAAAAUCAUUCAAAAAAGAAAGUGUGUUUAUGUCUGUAAUAAGGGUCUAGUUUUUAGAAAUGAAUAGAUUCAAACAUAUUCCCAGCCAUGUUGUUGUCAUGAUAUUCAGUGUCUUAGCACUGUUGCAACAUGUGACAUGAUUAUGGCUGUCAGCAGGUGGUAUGCUAUAAAUCAUUUCUGGCAAAUGUUUUUGUCAUGAGAAAUGAAAUCAAU